rnacentral:rRNA from 1 species
AUUGAACGCUGGCGGCAGGCUUAACACAUGCAAGUCGAGCGGAGAGAGGUAGCUUGCUACUGAUCUUAGCGGCGGGCGGGUGAGUAAUGCUUAGGAAUCUGCCUAUUAGUGGGGGACAACAUUUCGAAAGGAAUGCUAAUACCGCAUACGUCCUACGGGAGAAAGCAGGGGAUCUUCGGACCUUGCGCUAAUAGAUGAGCCUAAGUCGGAUUAGCUAGUUGGUGGGGUAAAGGCCUACCAAGGCGACGAUCUGUAGCGGGUCUGAGAGGAUGAUCCGCCACACUGGGACUGGAACACGGCCCAGACUCCUACGGGAGGCAGCAGUGGGGAAUAUUGGACAAUGGGCGGAAGCCUGAUCCAGCCAUGCCGCGUGUGUGAAGAAGGCCUUAUGGUUGUAAAGCACUUUAAGCGAGGAGGAGGCUACUUUAGUUAAUACCUAGAGAUAGUGGACGUUACUCGCAGAAUAAGCACCGGCUAACUCUGUGCCAGCCGCCGCCGUAAGAC